AUUGAACGCUGGCGGCAGGCUUUACACAUGCAAGUCGAACGAGUGGCGGACGGGUGAGUAAUGUCUGGGAACGUGCCUGAUGGAGGGGGAUAACUACUGGAAACGGUAGCUAAUACCGCAUACUAUCGGAUGUGCCCAGAUGGGAUUAGCUAGUUGGUGGGGUAAAGGCUCACCGAGGCGACGAUCCGUAGCUGGUCUGAGAGGAUGACCAGCCACACUGGAACUGAGACACGGCCCAGACUCCUACGGGAGGCAGCAGUGGGGAAUAUUGCACAAGGGGGGCAAGCCUGAUACAGCCAUCCCGCGUGUAUGAUGAAGGCCUUCGGGUUGUAAAGUACUUUCAGCCGGGAGGCGUUACCCGCAGAAGAAGCACCGGCUAACUCCGUGCCAGCAGCCGCGGUAAUUC
rnacentral:rRNA from 1 species